rnacentral:rRNA from 1 species
CGUUCCCGGGCCUUGUACACACCGCCCGUCACACCAUGGGAGUUGGUUCUACCCGAAGACGGUUCGCUAACCGCAAGGAGGCAGCCGGCCACGGUAGGGUCGGCGACUGGGGUGAAGUCGUAACAAAGGUACC